rnacentral:rRNA from 1 species
UUCGACACACUAUCAUUAACUGAAUCCAUAGGUUAAUGAGGCGAACCGGGGGAACUGAAACAUCUAAGUACCCCGAGGAAAAGAAAUCAACCGAGAUUCCCCCAGUAGCGGCGAGCGAACGGGGAGGAGCCCAGAGCCUGAAUCAGUGUGUGUGUUAGUGGAAGCGUCUGGAAAGGCGCGCGAUACAGGGUGACAGCCCCGUACACAAAAAUGCACAUAUUGUGAGCUCGAUGAGUAGGGCGGGACACGUGGUAUCCUGUCUGAAUAUGGGGGGACCAUCCUCCAAGGCUAAAUACUCCUGACUGACCGAUAGUGAACCAGUACCGUGAGGGAAAGGCGAAAAGAACCCCGGCGAGGGGAGUGAAAAAGAACCUGAAACCGUGUACGUACAAGCAGUGGGAGCCUCUUAAUGGGGUGACUGCGUACCUUUUGUAUAAUGGGUCAGCGACUUAUAUUCUGUAGCAAGGUUAACCGAAUAGGGGAGCCGAAGGGAAACCGAGUCUUAACUGGGCGUUAAGUUGCAGGGUAUAGACCCGAAACCCGGUGAUCUAGCCAUGGGCAGGUUGAAGGUUGGGUAACACUAACUGGAGGACCGAACCGACUAAUGUUGAAAAAUUAGCGGAUGACUUGUGGCUGGGGGUGAAAGGCCAAUCAAACCGGGAGAUAGCUGGUUCUCCCCGAAAGCUAUUUAGGUAGCGCCUCGUGAAUUCAUCUCCGGGGGUA